UACGUAGGGACCAAGCGUUGUCCGGAAUCAUUGGGCGUAAAGAGCGUGUAGGCGGCUUGUUAAGUCUUGCGUGAAAUCUCGGGGCUCAACCCCGAGCGGUCGUGAGAAACUGGCAGGCUAGAGUGCGGGAGAGGAGAGUGGAAUUCCAGGUGUAGCGGUGAAAUGCGUAGAUAUCUGGAGGAACACCGGUGGCGAAGGCGGCAUUCUGGACCAUAACUGACACUGAGAGACGAAAGCCAGGGGAGCAAACGGG
rnacentral:rRNA from 1 species